CCAAAUAUAGUGGAAGCAGGUGCUUUACUCUUGUUAAGAGAGUAGGAGCUUAAUAGGGAAGCGCGGUGCAAAUCCGCAGCGGUCCCGCCACUGUAACCGGAUGCCGGCCGGGAGAACACUCCCUGUCAGGCACAUCCUUGGCAUAGGCCACUGGAGGGCGGACAAGCCCCCGGGAAGGAGCCUCUGGGUGCACCAGGAGCCAGGAGACCUGCCUGUUUCCGGGCACCGUU
rnacentral:ncRNA from 2 species